UGAUGUCUAAUAGUGAAAAUUUUACCUUU
rnacentral:piRNA from 1 species